rnacentral:rRNA from 1 species
UACGAAGGGGGCUAGCGUUGCUCGGAAUCACUGGGCGUAAAGCGCACGUAGGCGGAUCUUUAAGCCAGGGGUGAAAUCCUGGAGCUCAACUCCAGAACUGCCUUUGAUACUGGGGAUCUCGAGUCCGGAAGAGGUAAGUGGAACUCCGAGUGUAGAGGUGAAAUUCGUAGAUAUUCGGAAGAACACCAGUGGCGAAGGCGGCUUACUGGUCCGGUACUGACGCUGAGGUGCGAAAGCGUGGGGAGCAAACAGGG